AAAUAAAGUAUAGAUAUGGACAUAGAAUGUGGAAUAAUAGUGUUGUCAUUUGAAUUUGUGUCCCCUCCCAAAACUCAUGCCAAAUUGGAGGAGGGGCCUGGCGGGAGAUGAUUGAAUCAUGAGGGCUGAUUUUCCCCUUGCUGUUCUCAUGAUAGUAAGUGAGUUUUCAUAAAAUCUGAUGGUUUAAAAGUGUGUGGCACUUACCCCUUUUCUUGCUUUCUCUCCUACCACCUUGUGAAGAAAGUGCUUGCUCCUUCUUCACCUUCCACCCUGUUUGUAAGUUUCCUGAGGCCUCCCAGUCACGCUCCCUAUUAAACCCACGGAACUGUGAAUCAAUUAAAGCUCUUUUCUUCAUAAAUUACCCACUCUCAGGUAGUUCUUUAUAGAAGUGUGAGAAUGGACUAAUACAGUCCUUAGAGAGCCAGAAGGAAGGGAGGGUGAAAGGGGAGGGGAGAUGAGAAAAAACUUAAUGGGUGCAGUAAGUAAUUUAGUGUAUCCACUGAGCAAUGAGUAUACUAAAAGCCCAGACUUCACCACUAUAUAAUGCAUCUAUGUAACAAAACUCACUUGUCCUCACUAAAUUUAUAACAAUAAAAAUAAAACAAAAUAAUAAAAAUGUCAUUUAUAAGGACAAAUAAAACAAUAAACACACUAAUUUUAUCUAUGAUAUAUUAAGUCUAAUUUUUAACUUGAUAUCCAUCUUUAAUAGAAGUUAUUUCCCAAUUUAAAAAAAUCCUUAAUUCUACGGUAUCAUAUGAGGAAGAAAUAAUUUUCAUCAUUACUUUACCUGGAGCACACAGAAUAGGGUCAAAUCACUGAAUUUAAAGCUAGAAAGAAGACUUCUUCUUUGGCUCUUCCCUGAAAAACUAUAGCCUUUGGGGCUUAAGGUCUUCUGAAUUUAGUUUUUUAUUUAAUGCCACUUAUAAAACUUUGACCUAAGAUUGACAUUCUCUCUCUUCUUUUAAGCUUCUUCAAACACUCUCUUAUGCUUAUUAUUUUACCCUUUUUGAUGAGAUAAUUAUUCAUUUCAUAUGUACCCACUCGACUGUAAGAUCCUUGGAGAUGGAAGCCAUAAGCUACUUAGGAGCAUAAUACCUCAUCUUCUUCCCCAGAUCCUGAACUCACAGAAUGCCUAGCAGUGUACACGCACACCUACACAUCUACCCCUAUCCCCACAACACACAUAGCUUUCUCUCCUUGCCUUAAGAGAAUGAAUAUUGAAACAAAUGAAGAAAUGGGUUAUAAAAUAAGCUUGCAUUCCUUCUAAAUUUUAGCUUUUUAAAUUCUUAAACAUUUUAGGUCUCUUGUAUUUGCCAGUAGUUGACUCUAGCUGGUCACUGAUAUGUUUAGAAAUAUCCUACAUAAAUGAGCUAUGGAGAUGAAUUAACAUAUUCCAAAGAUAAGUAUUGAUGUUUUGCAAAAAAAUAAUAAAUAUGUUGAGGGCAUUCAGGCUGAAUAUAUUGACUUUUCUUUAUGGACUGCACUAAAAUUGAUUUACUGAAUUUUCAUAGGCAGCCUGCAAAAUGACCAAUUGAUUAUGAAGAGAGACAAAAACCUUUCUAAUUAUUCCAGUUCUGUUAGGCAGUGGUAUGGAAGGUUUGUAAGUUUAUCUUAUUUAAGAGCCAUUAUUAUUCACACUUGCCAAAAGAUUAAUCUUGAGGAGUCAUGUGCUUGUAAUCCUACUGUAAUUGCCUUUUUACUUGAUUUUCUUCUCUGAGAUUCUAUCAGCCUAUUGAUAAUUACUGCGCCUUCCCUUCCCCAGGGCUGUGAGAGUACCCAGCAAUAAAAACACACACAAAUAUUUCUAUCAUAUAUGAAUGAAUGAAAAUCUGACUACAACCUACAAUUAAAGGCAGUUUCUUCUAGAGAAGUUGGAGGGGAUGGAGAUGGAGGAUGCAGGUGUUAAAGAUAUUUUACUUAUAAUAUAUUUCAUUAUUUUAUGUCCAAAGACUUCCAUUGGAUUAUCUGUACAGAUAGAUCAUCCUAGCAUAACUAUGGUGACUUCUGAGAACUUCAGAAGUAAUGACACCAAUAUAUCAUUAGGUUUUGCAGAAGACUUUGGAAGAGACUAUCACAUGUUCCAAAGUAGAUUCAAAAUUCCACCUCAAAUGGUAUAAUGCACAGUUCACUUCAAAACUGAACCUUCUAGGCUGACUGUUCCCUAUAAGCUUGUGUUCAGAUUUCUUCUAAAAAGACUAGAGUGACAAUCUGAGCUAAAGCUAACAAAAAGCAGCUCCAGCAUGACUCAGUAUCUGCACUUAAGUAAGAAAAACCUCUGGAAGGUGCAUCUGAACUAUUACAGCUAGACACAAACAUGAUAUUUGUGUAUAUUCCAAAGCAGAUUUAAAAAUGUUAAUUUAAAAUGAGUUUAAUACAAUUAGAAAAAUAAAAGAUAUAUUUUACGUAUAAUUCUGUCAUCUGACCAAAUAAUGUUUAUCCUGAGAAAGUAAUAUAGCAUAGUGGAAAUUAUUUAGAGUCCCACAGAACACAGUUUUAUAUGCUUAUCUAGCUAUAUAUCAUUGGGCACAUCACAUUUUGUAGCAGUGGCUUUGUUUUCCUAUUUAUAAAUGUGUGCCUAUAUCUACAUAUCUGGAUUGUUUAAAUAAUUAUAUACAAUAAUAUAAAUAAAAAGCCUCAAGAAAUGCUUGAAAUAGUUGCUCAAACAAUGGAACUUAUCAUUAUAGGUUUUAAGGUUUGCUGUGUAUUUUUCUAAUCUCAGUCCCUAUGGCCAUAUACUUUUAGCAAUUGCAAUCAAAAUUCACAAAUGUGCUUGAUUCCUUCAUGUUGUGAUUUGAUUUCAUCUAUUUUUUCACAGUAGGCAUUUAGUUUAUUUUUUAACAUAGUCAAAUGUUCAUUUUUAAUCACUUCAAAUACUGUCUCUAGUGAAUUGACCUCCGGAUGGAGAUGUAAGCUUUCUGAGGCAGAUCUUCAGAAGUGACUUCUUAAAUAAGGGGCACUAAGCCUUGACUAGGAAUAGCUGUUUGUUAUUUCCAUCUGCACUUGAUGAGGAAGUUGUGGCCUCUUUUUUCACUGAUGUGGAUUUUGCCAUCAUUAUCCAUGCCUCUAACCUGUGGCCUUGAUUACUAUAAUACUCUUGACUUUGGGCUACUUUUGAGCUUCGGCUGGUGAGGAAUGCAGCAAUCUGUUUGCUUGUGGGUAGCCACUGCAGGAAGCAUAUUGUAUCAGUGUUCCAUUGUAAAAUGCAAUGGAGCUGCACUUUAAUGAAGCCACAGCAAGGCUGAGUAUAUUUGAGGAAUCACUUGAAUAUUUAAUAAGUCUAAAUGGAAAGAAGAUAUGUUUUUUCUUUUUUUCUUGCACUAUUUUGCUAUCCGUGGUUGAACAAAAGACACUUAAUAAAAACAUUAUAGCUGAAUUGUUAUCAUUUCCAACACCAUAGGCAUUAUACAGCUGAAAAGUUUUAGAUUCACAGCAGGGUUUAAAGGCCCUUGUUUCUAAAUUCAAUGUAAACUAUUGCUAAGGAGUUACGGCUACCAUAAAUUAAAAAAAAAUAAAAAAUAAAAAAUAAAAAAAAAAACGCAUAUACCUGCCUUCAGCUGUUGGCACCAUCUUCAUGAAGAAUGAAGAAGCAAAACAAAAAAGUGUCUAUUGAUGCGGAAAAGGGAGCUAUAUAACCAGGUAAAAAAAUGAAAGAUAAAAAAGGCAGGCAAAAGUCAUGUCAUGACAUUAUCAGAGGCAUUUAGGUUGCAAGGUGUGAAAAAGAUAUUUUUGGUGAUUUCAUAUAAACAGAAAGAAUAAACAAUUACCUCACUUCAGAAAAUCUUAAGAUAUACCUACACAUAUAUGGAAUACAUGCAUUUAAAUAUAUAUAUAUAUAUAUAUGUACUUUGUCAGUUUUCAUACUAUACAAUGUGUCCACAAACACAGAAAUAUAUAUGUUCUUUAUUUCUCUCAAUGAACACUCCACUCCUGCUUUUAAGAUGUGUUUUAGCCAUUAUAUCAUCCAAGUACCUUGCUUUAUAAUCUGAAAACAUCUUACCAAAUUUCAUUUCCUCAUUGUAUUUUCUUUUUUGAUAAUAUGGAAAUGCUACAACUAUAUCAUCCACGUUGUUUUUGCAUAUUCUUUUGUAGUUAGUGGUGCUCUGUUUUUAUUUGUGACUGAAACUGACUAAGGAAAUUUAUAGAUUUGGUGCAUCCCCCUACUUCAUUAACUCACAAGCAACAAGGGCAGCUCCUAGUGAAUUAACAUCAGUCCACUUUCCUUGUGGGCAGAUAAUUCCAAUUAUAGUUAGUUAUGACUGACUUUGCUUUCAUGAAGAUUGACAGAAUGUGCUAGAGGUAUGGGACAACGUUUAGAACUGCAGUCGUAGUUCAGACCCUGAGUUGGCUGUAGAGGUUGGGGCUUGGAGACAAUUACGUAGUGGUUUGGGUGUCAGAUUGGUCACAAACCAAACUUCAUUGCUCACUAGCUGUGAAAUGUUGAACAGAUUAGAAAACUCUAAAACUCAGGGUUUUUGUCCAUAAAAUGAUGAUGUUAAUUAUACUUGUAUCAAGGAUUUUGUGCAUAUUAAAUAAGAUGUCUUCAUUCAUGGUGUCUGCACUAAGCACCCAAUCAUUUUAGCUAUUAUUGUUCAUACCAUCCUGUGUGAAAUAAGAGGGGUAUAUUCCCUUACCUUUUAGGCUUCUCUAGUGUCAGUAUUGCACUCAAGAAGUAAAAAAAAAAAAUUGGAUGUUCAAGAGGUUCACUGUUGUUUAAAGCUGUUGUUUGUAUGAUUAAUACCAUUAAGUCAUUUAUUUCAUUCUUUCUUUCUUUUUUAACUCAGUCAGUGAUUACUGAGUGUCUACCAUGGGCUAGACGCUAUGCAAAGAGCUGAAGCUCGAAUCACGAGUAAGGCAGAAUUUCUGUCUACAGGAAACAGGUCUAUGACUAUGGAAAUAUCUACAGGAAAACAGAAAUUACAAUAGAGUAUCUCGAUAUAGGAAUGCACCUAACUCAGUCUUGGGAGUGACGGGGAGAAGAAAAGUCCUACAGAGGAGACAGAAUCUCAUCUCAAUUUCAGAGGAAAAAUAUGUUAUAACUAAAAGAGGUAUUAGAGGUUAACGAGUCCACAGAAUUAAUUUUAGAGUUGAGGCUGAGAGAGAUUACAUGACAUGGCCACACAGUCCAGAACUGGACAGCCUGAGCUCCUUCUACUCCACAGCUUGUGCUCAAAAUCUUCUUUUUCCAAGCCACAAGCUGUGUUGUUUUCCAUAGAUCUUAGAAAAUGGGCCAUGACCUUCAAACUUAACAUUCUGGAAAACGUGGUACCUAAGUCAGGCAGCCAGCCCAUCUGGGGAAUGUUGAAAAUCCUAUAAUUUCCACCCUUCCCUACAGCAGUAUUUCCCUUUCAUUUGAUUGUAAGGUGGCAAUUAAAAUAAAAUGCAAUACAGUACACAAGAAGAGGCAGAGGCAAAACAUGAGAGACUCCCAGUGGAAAAGGAGGGAAGCAUAUGGUAAAGGUAAUUGGCUUCUCUCUGUUACAUGCAGGCACAUAACCGAAGAGUUGCAUAUAGCAAUCUAUAUAUUUCUGAAUUUAUAAGAAACUCAGCUUAAAGCCAGCACUGACUUUCAAUAAAUGUGUCAUAAAUAGCAGCGAUCCUUUUCCCUCUCUAAUUUAACUUGGACAAUUUCUUUAUCCCAGAUACACAUUGAGCCCAACACUUUCCAUAUCUAUCCUAAAUAUAACCGGUCACCAUUGCAAAACUAAAUUUAGUGAUUUUCUUCAAUGGUAAGAGACUUUUUUUUUUACAAUGUUUAUUGAUUUUUCCAAGUCCAUAGUAGCUAAUCUGGUUUCCAGUUCAUCAAAUCCACUUGAAUCAUGGUGUGUGUUUGUUUGUGUGUGUGUGUGUGUGUGUGUGUAUGUAUGUGUGUGAAAUGUGUUUUUCGUUGUCAAGGUUACAAGCAGCAUAAGGCAUUUAGCAUGUAUGAGUGAAUAACAUGUCAUAAUAUCAUUUUAUUCUAAGAAAUCCCAACCUGUUGAUAAGUUAUCUCAAUCAAUCUUAAACCCAAAACUACAGUAGGAAAAAAGCCUAUCUGGUACCCUCCUAGGUAAUUCCUAAUUAGGAUGUAUUAGUAAUUAUGCAUGCUCAGUAGCAUAUAGACUGUUGUGAAUUAUGGUUGCCCUAAUGUAAUAAAAAUUUAAUGAGGCUUUGUCUUACACUGUCAAUUAAGUAAACUUCUGGCCUACUGACUAAAUUUUGAUUUAUGUUGCCUUCUUCUUACUUUUUACAAAAGUGAGAAAUUACAGAGCUAUCUUAACAUUUCAAAAGAUUAAUUGUCCACAACGCCAAUUUGGUUUGCAUGAAGUCUGAACAGAUGUAAUUAUGCUCGCCUUCCCCAGUGAAUAUACCUAAGAAAAUAUUUCUAGGUUACAAGUUCCAUCGUGUUACAUUUAAGAGGCCAAACUAAAUACAAUGAAACCUACUAAUUUCAAUCUUUUCCUGAAUGUUCUCUUGCAGUUCACAUUCAAAUUUCAAAGUCUUAGCAAAGUUUCUAAACUGCUGGGCUGCCAACAUUUUACUUUUCUUUUCUUUUCUUCUUUUAUCCUCUUUGAAAAAUUAGAAGAAAGUUUUUUUCUGACCAGAUAAUUAUUUUUUGAUUAAUACCUUCUUUUCUACUUGCAUGCAGUCAGCUAAUAAAAUGACAAGAAAAAGUAAGAUACAUUUGAAUUUCAAGUUCUCCUUUCAAAGGUUUAAUCACAGCCUUUGAACUGAACUCAGUGAUAUGUUAUCUGGAGUUAACCAUUUUGUCAUAAAAAUCAUAAUAUUGCAACCAUCCUAAAAUAGCCCAGUUGAAAAUAUUAGCUCAAAGUCAAUUGCAGGAGGGCAGAAUUUUCAUGCUGACUCAUUAGUGAGUACUUUUAAAAUAUAUAUAUAUUUUUAAUUGACAAUCAUUGUAUAUAUUUAUGGGAUACAAUGUAAUGUUUUGAUAUGUGUUUAUAAUACGGUAUUUUAAAUACCCUACCCUUUUAGGUAUUACUUUCUAAUAGACAACUUUUUUUUUUUUUUUUUUUUUUUUUUUUUUUGAGAGUGAGUUUCGCUCUGUUGUCCAGGCUGGAAUGCAGUGGCGAGAUCUUGGCUCACUGCAACCUCUGCUUCCCUGGGUUUGAGCGAUUCUCCUACUUCAACCUCCCUAGUAGCUGGGAGUACAGGCGCCUGCCACCACACCCAGCUAAUCUUUGUAUUGUUAGUAAAGGCAGGGUUUCACCAUGUUGGCCAAGCUGGUAUCGAACUCCUGACCUCAAAUGAUCCACUCACUUUGGCCUCCCAAAUUGCUGGGAUUACAGAUGUGAGCCACUGUGCCCAGUUGACAGCAUUAUUUUUAAUCAUUGCUUUUAAUUAUUAGAGAAGGGGCUUAGAGAUCUGCACCAUUUUUAAAAACUUUAUUCUCAUCUCUUUAGAAAUGGGGAGAAAAAUGCCAAAACUAUUCAUUCAGUUCCAGAGGCAGCUGCAUUCAAAAAAGAAAUCCUUUUCAUGUCCCUUGUGUUAACAAACGCUAACAUUAAUUGAAUUGUUUCUUUUUUUUUUCCAGUGACAUUUUCUUUUUCUUUUUUCUUUUUUUUUCUUUUAUUAUUAUUAUACUUUAAGUUGUAGGGUACAUGUGCACAAUGUGUAGGUUAGUUACAUAUGUAUACAUGUGCCAUGCUGGUGUGCUGCACCCAUUAACUCGUCAUUUAGCAUUAGGUAUAUCUCCUAAUGCUAUCCCUUCCCCCUCCCCCCACCCCACAACCGUCCCCAGUGUGUGAUGUUCCCCUUCCUGUGUCCAUGUGUUCUCAUUGUUCAAUUCCCACCUAUGAGUGAGAACAUGCCGUGUUUGGUUUUUUGUCCUUGCGAUAGUUUACUGAGAAUGAUGAUUUUCAAUUUCAUCCAUGUCCCUACAAAGACAUGAACUCAUCAUUUUUUAUGGCUGCAUAGUAUUCCAUGGUGUAUAUGUGACACAUUUUCUUAAUCCAGUCUAUCAUUGUUGGACAUUUGGGUUGGUUCCAAGUCUUUGCUAUUGUGAAUAGUGCCGCAAUAAACAUAUGUGUGCAUGUGUCUUUACAGCAGCAUGAUUUAUAGUCCUUUGGGUAUAUACCCAGUAAUGGGAUCGCUGGUUCAAACGGUAUGUCUAGUUCUAGAUCCCUGAGGAAUCGCCACACUGAUUUCCACAAUGAUUGAACCAGUUUACAGUCCUACCAGCAGUGUAAAAGUGUUCCUAUUUCUCCACAUCCUCUCCAGCACCUGUUGUUUUGUUAGAGGUAAUUCCUAUGCAGUUACUAUUCAAUUUUCUUAACACCUUCAUGUUAUUUUUUUUUCAAUUUUCUGAUGUUUCAGGGGGAAACUAAACCAGAAAGAGCUUAUGGCUUGGUCAAUAUUGAAUAGGUAGUGGUGGAGUAAAGAUUUCAACUCAGAUAGUACAACAGCACAGCCCAUUCUCUUAACCACUCCUCCAUAUUUCCUUAAAAACAUAGCACAAUCAUAAUCACACAUAUGUAAGUUAUUAUAUAUGGAAUAAUAAUAUUCCAUAUAUAAUAUUAUUCCAUAAUUAUAUAUGGAAUAAUUAUCAUGUGCCAACUUCAUGCUAAACAUGUAUUUAUUAUAUAUGUUUCAGUAACAAGAGUCAAUGCUAUCACUGCAAAUAAUUUUAAAGAAAUUCCAUAUAGCAAAAUUUAAUGUAGUUCUUACCACUACUCCAUUAUUUCAAGUUAUAUUUGUUUCAUUUAGUUCUGUUAAUUGUGACUUGAGUUUUAUUAAAAUAUGAUGUCACAUCCUUGAAAAAAAACAAAAUGAAAAUAAAAAUAAAAAUAGUUGUCUUUAGUAAGAGUCCAGAAUGCAGAUUAGAUAAUAUUCCAAUGUAUUUUAACCAAAAAGCUUAUUCAAAAUUUAAGACAACAAAUUUCAUUUACCCGUUGGUAUGAUAUUCUCCAGCAUGCUGGGAUAGAGGGACAGCCCUGAUAUCUAUGGCUAACUUAAUGCCCCAGAUGAUUUAGGUUAAAUGUUAUAACCUCUCUAAGGCUUCAUUCUAUCAUCUGUAAAUUAAAGAGGGUUAAUAAAGUGACCACCAGGUUUCACUUUGUAUCAUGAUUCUAUUCAACUGACAUUGGCUCUGUGCAGCACUGGAUCUUGAAAAAUUUUGAGCUCUAUGUUGACUCAGAAAAAAAAAGAAAUCAAUAGGAAGUCACAAUAGAGAGGAGUGGCUGUACAAUCGCAGGACAUUUGCAGGUUUCUGUUUUACUUAAGAUAGGUGAACUGCUGUAUACAAUAGACUGAAAUGUGCAUUGGUUAACAUACAACUGAUGUUUGUUUCUAGGUCUCAAGAGAAUAUGGCACAAUUGAACAGGAUUGUGGGACAGCCCUUCCUGUGCAGUCAUUCAAUGACUCACCUGGUGGAUACUAUUUCAAUUCUAGCUGGAAUGGAGAAGAUAUGUUGAGUGUUACCAUAUGGGAGGUUUAUAGGAGCCAGGUCUGAAAAUGGCAGGCAUCGCUUUUAACUUUCUAUUAUCUAGAUUUCAUUCACGUGGCCUAAUCUAACUGAAAGGGACACUAAACUCAUAGUUUCUGUGUGUUAUUAGGAAGAAAACGAAAAUAUGGAUGUUGGUGACAGUCUCUUCUCUGACAUGUAAAACAUCUUUAAAUUAUAAUGUUCAUCUUGGCUUUUAUUUGUGAUAGGUUCCUUUACUUAUGACGUUACAGAUUUAAGUUAAAGCUCUGCUUGGUCAGUUUGAGACUUCCUUCCUUCCUUCCUUCCUUCCUUCCUUCCUUCCUUCCUUCCUUCCUUCCUUCCUUCCUUCCUUCCUCCCUCUCUCUCUCUCUCUCAGUGUCUCUCUCUCUCUCUCUCUCUCUUUCUAGUCUCGCUCUGUCACCAGGCUGGAGUGCAGUGGCACAAUCUCUGCUCACUGCAACCUCUGCCUCCCAUGUUCAAGCAAUUCUCCUGCCUCAGCCUCCCAAGUAGCUGGGAUUACAGGUGAAUGCCACCACACUCAGCUAAUUUUUUUUGUUGUUGUUGUUAGAGAUAGAGUUUCAACAUGUUAGCCAGGAUGGUCUUGAUCUCUUCUCUGAUAUGUAUAAUGUCUUUAAAGUAUAAUGUUCAUUUUGGGCAGACCUCAUGCUCUGCCCGUCUUGGCCUCCCAAAGUGCUGGGAUUACAGGCAUGAACCACUGUGCCCGGCCAAUUUCUUAAUUUCUUAAAUGACAUUAAUAACUCCCAAAGCGACCAGUUGUUUAGCUCAGUCAUAGGACAUUAAAAAGUGUUGGAUGAAUGUUUCUAGAUUGGUGUUAAUUAGGUAACUUUGUUCUGAUGAAAUUAUUUCGUAUUUUUUUAAUCUUUUUUUUAACUUUCAUUUUAAGUUCAGGAGUACAAGUGAAGGUUUGUUACAUAGGUAAAUUUGUGUCAUGGGGAUUUGUUGUACAGAUUAUUGCAUCACCCAGGUAUUAAGCUUAGUACCCAUUUGUUAUUUUUCCUGAUUGUCUCCCUCAUCCCACCCUCUGCUUUCUGAAAAGCCCCAGUGUUUGUUGUUCCCCACUAAGUGUCCAUGUGCUCUCAUUAAUUAACUCCCACUUAAAAGUGAGAACACGCAGUAUUUAGUUUUCUAUUCCGGUGUCAGUUUGCUAAGGAUAAUGACUUCCAACAUCAUCCAUGUCCCUGCAAAGGACAUGAUCUUAUUCUUUUUUAUGGCUGUGUAGUAUUCCAUAGUGUAUAUGUACCACAUUUUCCUUAUCCAGUCUAUCAUUGAUGGGACUUUAGGUUGAUUCCAUGUCUUUGUUAUUGUGAAUAGUGCUGCAAUGAACAUAUGUGUGCAUGUAUCUAUAUAGAAUAAUUUACAUUCCUUUGGGUAUAUAUUCAGUAAUGGGAUUGCUAAGUCAAAUGAUAUUUCUGUUUUUAGGUCUUUGAGGAAUUGCCACACUGUCUUCCACAAUGGCUGAACUAAUUUACAUUCCCAUCAACUGUGUAUAAGUGUUCCUUUUUCUCCACAACCUUCAUUUUCUAUAUUUUCAUUGGAAUAUAAAUUUCAUAGAGCAGGAACCUUGUCUAUCUUGUGUCCAAUGUAUACCCAAGAGCUACAGCAGUGCCUGGCACAUAGAAAGUACUCAGUAUUUAUUGAAUGGAUAUAUACUUAGAUAAUAAACUAUUGUCCUAUGUAGUAAGUUCAUGUAAUGUUUCUUUGAAACUAUUACCUAUUGAUAUGGUUUUGCCCUGUGUCCCCACCCAAAUCUCAUGACGAAUUGUAAUCCCCAUGUGUCAAGAGAGGGACCUGGUAUGAGGUAAUUGUAUCGGGGGGCAGAUUUUCACCUUGCUGUUCUCUUGACAGUGACUGGGUUCUCAUGAGAUCUAAUGGUUUAAAGGUGUGUGGCACCUCCCCCUUCUCACUGUCUCUUUCUUGCUCCACCAUGAUAAGACAUGCUUGCUUCCCCUUCAAUUUCCCCAUGACUGUAAGUUUCCUAAGGCCUCCCAAUCAUUAUUCCUAUUAAACCUGCAGAAUUGUGAUUCAAUUAAACCUCUUUUCUUCAUAAAUUACCCAGUCUCAGGUAGUUCUUUAUAGCAGUGUGAGAACAGAGUAAUACAACUAUAAAAAACUAAACAGACAUAUAGGACUGCUACAGUAGAACAUCUCCAACCAUCGCAUUUUUAUUACUCCACUUCAGAAUUACCACUAUGUCUAUGAGGCUAUUUAAUUUCAAAAACAAAUAAAUCACUGAGGGCCCACAAUUUGACUAAGAACAAUAAUCAUUAAUACCUAACAGUAAAAGGUGACCAUACAUCACACUGUGCUUGUGAUAGCCAUAGAUUUCACCUGGAUGUUGCAUCAUGAGACAACAUGGAACUCACAAGUGUCCCAGUUUAGAUGACAAAUUACAGUACAUAAAUACUCUAGUAAUAAGAUUUUUGUUUUGCUUUAUGUUUGAAUUAUGCUAUAUUUGAAUCCUUCCUGAUUUUUCUUGGAUAGCUUUAAUUUCAUUGAAGCCUGUGGGUCUUUAAUAAUUGGAAUGACUAUUUUAAAUAACAGAUGUCUUGAGAUAAUCUGGCCCUAUUUUAUGAAGCAUUGUGCUAUUUUUAUUUAAGCAUUUGUUAAUAGGCUAACGUAACUAUUCUGAUUAAGAAGCAAAGUGAAAUUCAUUAACAUAUACCACUGAGCAGUACACUCAGAUUUACUUGGCAAUAGAUUUCCCAAGCAUAAUUGUAUCGGCUAGAAGCUAUGGCUAAUGCCACUGCUGAAAUUUCAAACAUAAAUCAUAAAAACCAAUGAAUUGGCAAUAGAGUUACUAAGCACAAAUUUGUCUGGUAGCAGCUACAGUUGACUGCUGCAGCUGAAAUUACAAACACCACUGAUAAGCACAGUGAUUUAGGUCAGAACAUAAUUCUCAAUCGAAUAUUUUCUAAUUUGUUUGAAUGCUUUUUGGAAAACUUCAAAAGAUAAUCAAUUCUUUUCACAUUGCAAUGAUUUGAGAAGUAGGUUGUUUAUUGAUAUAUCAUAGAUACCCAUAUUUUGGGAGAACAUGUGAUAUUUUGAUAUAUGUAUACAAUGUGUGAUGAUCAAAUCAGGGUAAUUAGGAUAUUCAUCACCUCAAACAUUUAUUAUUUCUUUUGAAACAUUAAAAUUCUUCUCAAGAAGUAGUUUUCCUUUUUUUUUUUUAAUUAGUAGGAUAAUUUCUGGCUUAGGAUCUAGUUCUUUAGCUAAUUAAAAAGCAAUUGCCUGUCCUUUCUUUUGCAAUAUAUAAAAACAAUUAUAUUUACUACUAUUGUUACUCAUAUUCCUCCCCUUCCUAGUACUCAAAUACAGGCCAUCUAUGACUCUACUAUUUACAAAUAUACCUACUAAGACAAUACCAUUCGUUUCCCCCAGGAAAAGUCCACUCAGGCCUUCUAUGAGAACAUUUAUAUUUCCACAGCUCCACUCUCCUUCUAUAAGAACAUUUAUAUUUCCACAGCUGAUAGAAAUCUCACCUCUCUUAACUCUUUGCCUAAGCAACAGGUAGCAUAGCUUUUAAUUUCAAACAAAAUUAUUUUCUGUAAUUACAUUAAUAACUACCAUGCAUCAGGCAUACUGCUUAAUGUUUUUGUAUCCAUUAUCUCAUUUUUUCAUUAUAAUAAUAUUGUGAGAUAGUUACCAUACUUUGCUCUUUGUGUUAUACACACCUGGUCUUUUCCAAAAGAAUAAACAUCCUUGAGGCCAGUAAGCAUAUGUUUACCCUAGGAUGAAUCUUGGCAGAUGGUAGGUGCUCAGUAAAUAACUGUCGAUGAAAAAUCUGAAAUCAGGAGGAUACUACGUGAUUUGUCUUAGUUAUCUAUUGCUGCAUUGCAGUGUUAUCACAACCUUUGUGACUUAAAACAAGUAUUUAUUAUUUUGCGCUUUUUGUGGGUAAAAAACUCUGGGUUUCCCUAGCAGGGCUCUCUACUUCACGUUCUCACAAAGCUGCACUCAGUGGCAGUGAGGGCUGCAGUCUCAUCUGAGCUUGACUGGCGGUGGGGGGUCAUCUACCUCUCCAAGCUCAUGUGACUGUUGGCAACUUCCAGUUCCUAUCAUGUUGGAGGACUAAGGACCUCAGUAUCUUGCUGUCUUUCAGCCAGAGGCUUAUAUCAAUUUCUUGCCAUGUGUGCCUUCUCAAAAUAGCCCCUUGCUUUCUCAAGCAAAUCAGGGAGCCUUAGGAAGAUGGGUGUCAUAACUCAUGUGUUGUGAUCAUAUGCACAUACACACCUCAGAGUUUUAUCAUCAUACAUCUUUUUCUAGCAAAUUUUCUAAAAGGAAACUUGUUUAAUUGCAACAGAGUGUUUAUCAGAAAGGGCCAUUUAAAAAAAAUGUGAGUAAGAACUUUUAAAAUCUGCCAAUUUAAUGUAUGGCUAGUUUAAGAAGAAGGUGGGGGUGGUUUUUCAGGUUAAGUUUGCUCUACAGAAACUGGCUACUCUCUCCGUAUCUUUUACAGUGCGUGGACACACUAUUAAAAUAUUUAUACCACUUGCAUAACUGCAUCUAGAAAUUAUAUAUUGGACGUAAUCUAUUUGACCACAUUUUAUUUUUACCCUUUCUUUUAAAAGCAUUUUUGGCAACUUGAUCUACCUGCCUUUCAUGGUCCAAGGCACGUCAGCACUGUAGCUUGCCAGGUAGCCAAAUUCAUCUUAAAUUAUAGCAGGAUAGGUUCAAGGGAAUAUAUAUCAUUGAAAGGAAGUCAGAUUAUUAUGUCUGAAUCUUUAUGUGACUUCUCAACUACCUUCAUAUUUUAAAUUACAGCUGAUACAAUUUCUCAUGGAGUAACAUUUAAAAAUCAUAAAAUAACAUAUGCAGAUCCACAUGAAUUAUCAUUUAUGAUUUUUUAUUCUCCUAUGAUAUUUCCAUGUUUAGUAAAGUAUCAUUACAUGUUUCAGUACAGUUUUACUAAAGCAGGAAAUUAAUCUUAAGUUUCAUAAAAUUCUUCCCUUCCUAUCUGUCUCCAUUAUCUUCGAAUAUUGCUAACAGCAAGAUAUUUGUAGUUAAAUAAAGGUAAGGGCCAACUGUCAAUUCCAGCUUCUUCCCUUACUAGUUGUCUGGUCUUGAAAAUUCACAUAAUCAUUUGAGUGUCUGUGUCCUCAUCUCUUAAACAAAAAGAAAAGAAAAAGGAUAAUUAUACUUGCCUCACAGGGUGGGGGUAAGGAUUAAAUAAGAUUGAAUAUCUGAUGUGCUUAAUGCAGUUCCCAGCACUAGGUUGGCACGUAGUCCAUGUUAAUUUCUUCAUCCCAUUUUACACUUUAAAAUCUUUUGCACAGCUUAAAAAUUGUGAUAUCAUUGGCAUUAUUUCUCCAAAUAAAGUUUAUGCAUCCUUAAAGGGAUGGCUCUUUUUAAAACUGGGUUGACUAUGAUCACUACAACCACUUAUGUACACUGACUUUAAGCUUCAAUAAGUGUUUUUCGAUAUGUUUUUGAUAAAUCAAUGCUAAAUGGCUCAUUGCUGGAUUUAAUUUUAGUAUUUGUUUGGUAAUUUCCUUUCUGUCUAAAUGAAAUUUGAGUUACCAGUUGCCUACAUUUAUGAAAGUUUGUCCUGUUGUAGAUUCAUCUCAUUAUACUUCUAGAGCCCUUGAAACAUCAUAUUGAAGUAAUUGAUAAAGAAUUUUUUUCAUAUAUCCAUCAAAUAGUUCAUAAACAUCUGCUAUGUGCUAGUCACUUUGGAGACGACAAAGGAAAAAGAGCAAUUUUAAGAACAAUGUUAUUAAUAAAUAUUAAGUGCUUAUUGUGUACUAGGCACUCUUCUAAGUAAUGUAUUUAUUUAUUCACUUAAACCUUAAUCAUCCCUUAAGGUAGGCGCAAUUUUCACUAUUUUAUGUUUGAGAAAACUGAGAUUCAAAGAAGUUAAAUAACUUACUGGUCACAUGACUAAUAAUGGGCAAAGUCAGAAUUCAAACCCAAGAUGUCUAACUGCAGAAUUCUUUGUUUCCAUUAGUGGCAAAGGCUUACAUCUAGAUGCUCAUGAUCUACUACUGUAUUUCAAAUGUGUUUUAGCCCAUUUGUUAGAUAAAACAUUUGUUUUAAUCAUUUUUUAUACUGCAUUCUCCCUAGCCAAGAGAGAAGAGGUCUUGUGGAAAUACCAUUAGAAAAUCAUAUUGGGCCAGGCAUGAUGGCUCAUGCCUGUAAUCCCAGCUACUCCUGGGGAGGCUGAGGCAGGAGAAUCACUUGAGCCUAGUUCAAGGCUGCAGUGAGCUAUGAUCACACCACUGUACUCCAGCCUGGGCAGCAGAACAAGAUCCUGACUCCAAAAGAAAAUACUGGGAAGUUACAUGGGAUGACCCCGUGUGACCACUCCAGUGUGGUUCAGGAAGCUCUUCUCCAGUGCUCCUCACUCAUUCAUGCAGUUUUUCUGAAGAUGGAGGCCUUUGCAGAGGUGCUGAGAGUGACCUGGUUGGUGUCAACCAUUUGUUCAUGUUUCUCAUUUGUGGUGAAAAAUCUAUUGAAGACUCUGAGUGUAGAGUGGGCAUGGGUAGUGGCUUUGUUCCCUUGCUUCUUCCCGAUGCCUUGAGACUAGCAGGAGAUAUCAACUUGGCAUUUUUGUCUAUUCUGCAGACUCAAUCUUUUAUUGGGACUGUCAUUCCAAGAUGACACCUAAAGGAUAGUGAGCUUAGAAUGCACCACACUUGUGUUUAUAAGAAAGCCAACUCCUUUACAUUACAUCAAAAUUGGUUCCAAACUUUGGUUAGAAAAAGGGGUGCUAUUUAUUUUAUUUAUUUGCCUUUUAAUGGACCUCAUGUAUUAGUCUGCUAGGGCUGCCAUAACAAAAUACCACAGGCUGGAUGGUGUUUAAGCCAAACAGAAAUUCAUUUUCUCACAGUUCUGGAUGCUGGAAGUACAAGAUGCAGGUACUGGCAGGUUUCGUUUCUUCUAAGCCUUCUCUACUUGCCUUGGAGAUGGCUGACUUCUUGCUGUGCCUUCCCAUGUCCCUUGAUCUAUGCACAGGCAUCCCUGAUAUCUCUUCCUCUUCUUAUAAGGACACCUGUCAUAUUAGAUGAGGACUCACCAUGGACCUCAUUUAAGCUUAAUUACUUGUUUAAAGUCCCUGUCUGCAAAGACAAUCACAUUGGGGAUUACAGCUUCAACAUAUAAAUCUGUGAUUCGGGUAAAGGACACAAUUCUGCCUAUAACACCCCAUCUAUAAGCUCUGGCUGGACACAUUUUAAAGUGAACCACUUUGAAAAAGUAGACCAAGUCAUUGCGAAAAGACUAACUCUGUCUUUUCUUCAACCAAUAAACAUAAACUCUCACAUUUUCUAAACUUUCCUUCAAAAUAAAUAUUUAUUGAAAUAAUAGCUAAUAUUUAUUGAUUGCUUAUUUAUAUAGCAGAAAUGCAUCAACUCACUGAAUCCUUAUGACAACCCACUGUUUUGGGUCCUUUUAUUAACCCAUUUUACAAAGUAAAACUAUAACAGAGGGGUCAAGCAACUUGCCCACAUUCUUACUCCCCAUGAUGCUGCUGAAAUUUGAACUCAGAUUUUGUGUCCAGACAUGCUCACAUAACUUAUACAAGCUGAAUGUAUUGGUACUUUCUUGAUAUGUACUUUCUAUUUGUAAUGAUAGAUAUGUAAAAUACAGACAUUGAUGUAUUUUUGACACAAUUAUUUAUAUCAUUUGGCUUUGCUAAAAUUUGAACUCAGAUUUUCUGUCCAGACAUGCUCAUAUAACCUGAUACUAUGCUAAAUGUCUUGGUACUUGCUUGAUAUGUACUUUGAUAGAAGUGCAUUUGUGGCCAGGCAUGGUGGCUCAUGCCUGUAAUCCCAGCACUUUCGGAGGCCAAAGCAUGUGGAUCGCCUGAGGUCAGGAGUUCGAGACCAGCCUGGGCAACAUGGUGAAACCCUGUAUCUAUUAAAAAUACAAAAAUUAUCUAGGUGCAGUGGUGUGUGCCUGUAAUCCCAGCUACUCAGGAGGCUGAGGCAGUAGAAUCGCUUGAGCCCAGGAGUUGGAGGUUGCAGUGAGCCAAGAUUGCACCAUUGCAUUCCAUCCUGGGUGACAGAGCAAGAUUCCGUCUCAAAGAAAAAAAAAAAAAAGAAAAAAGAAAGAAGUGCAUUUAUAAUGAUAGAAAUGUAAAAUAGAGAAACUGAUGGAUUUUUGUAAUAAUUAUUUAUACAAUUGAGUUUCAUUGAAAAAUUCACCAGAAGCAGAGAUUGUUAAUCCAGUUAGGCAGCUCCCCCUUGUUCAGGCUGGUAGAGUCCUGCCAGAUACAAUUAUUACCCCUGGUUCCUGUUUACCAGCCAAGAAGGGUUUGGAUACAAGCUCCUUGGGUGGAGCCCAGCUCCUUGGGUGGAGCCCAGAAGGGCAGUGGCAGACUCACUGGUAAGAAGGUAUCUUAAUAGGUGAAAUGAGAAACUCUAGCCAAAGAGACACUGCAGAAACACCUAGACAUUAUGAGGAUGAGCCAAAAUGAACAGAUGAUGUAAUCGACACUAUGACCACAGCCCUCCAAGCCAGGGUUGCUUCUGACUGGUUUGUGAAAAAAAAAGUUCUUGUGCUCAAGUUCACUCAGAGAGAACUGUGGCCAUACUCAACACAUUUUGUGAGUGCCCGAGAAGUAAUGUUAAUAAAAAAUGUUGAAUUUGGUUUGUCAAAGACUGAUAAUCUUGAAACAGUUAAAGCAAUUAGAGGUAGGGAACCAUAUUUAAUUUUGUUUUCCAAAAUAUUUAAAAAUAAAUUCUAUAUUUGAUAUUAUAGUCUCCUUAACAUUUAACCUCCUAUAUUUUCUAAAAUGCAAACAUUAUUGAAGUGCCAGGGAGCUGUUUUCUUAAAAGUUUAAGCCAUGACUAAAGUGUGGUUGAAAAUAAUACUUAUUUUCUUAAUACCUUAUAUUCCUAGAACUGGGAUGGAGAAGAUUAAUUUGUCAGUUAGCCCUAGCUGUUCCCUAUUUCAGUUUGGUAACUAUUUAAAUGCGAAUCAUUCUAGGCUUUUCUGUAAGAAUAUAAGGAUAAGCAUAUUUUAGAUCUUACUCUCAAAAACUUUAAAGUUUAGCUGACAAGAUAAUAAAUAAUAAAAAUAGUUAAGAUUUUUUUGAGGAAUACAUGACAUUUAUUGAAUCAUUUAAUUGUUAAAACAACCAGAUUGCUCUUUUUAUUCCCAUUUUAUAAAUGAAGGCACUGAGUCCCAGAGAGCUUUAACAUUUUGCUCUAGGUUACAUGGCAAAAAAAAUUUUGUCAACUAUGUUGCCAAUCCAGGUAUAUUAGUUGCCUAGGGUUACCAUAAUAAAUUGCUAUUAUUCAGUGGCUUAAAAUAACAGAAACUUAUUCUCUCACAGCUCUGGAAACAAGAAGUCUGAAAUGAAGGUGUUAACAGAGGCGCCCUUGAUGCUUUAGGGAGAAUCCUUCCUUGCUUCUUCUAGCUUCUGGUUAUCGUCAAUAUUCCCUGUAGCUGCAUCACUACAAUCCUUCCUUGUCUUGUCUUCAUAUGACCCUCUCCUUGACUCUCUUUAUCUUCUUUUCUUCUGUCUCCUUUUAUAAGGACACAUGCCAUUGAAUAGGGUCCAACCAGAUAAUCCAGGAUGAUUUUAUAUUAAAAUCCUUCAUGUGAUUACAUCUGCUAAACUCUUUUUUAUUUUUGAAUAUAAUCACAUUCAUAGUUAAUGGGGUUAGGAUGUGAACAUACCUUUUUAGGAAACACCAUCAACCUGCUACGCCAAGCUUUCUGGCUGCAAUGCCAUUGCUGUAACUCCAUAUAUUAAGUAAAUAUAUUGAAUGGCAUAGUAACAUAUCUCUUGGUAGAUCUGAAUAGUAGAGAAGGCGCAAUCAUUGGUAUCAGGCAGAAAGGAGUCUGAACUUUGGCUUUACCAUUACCAGUUGGUUUUCCCCCUCCUUGACCCAAAUUUCAGCUUUUUUUUUUAAUCUACCAAAUGUGUUUAAUACUUUUUGCCACAUUAUUUGAUGAAGAUUUAAAUAAAUAAAUAAAAUAAAAUGAAAUAAAAUUAAAAUAAAUACAUAAAUAAAAUCUGGCCUGACAUUUUAGCAAAUAGACACAAAAAGUUAGAGUUCCUUUACUUCCCAGAAGCAAAACAAAUUUGCAAAAAUAGGAAAAGAAUGGGAAAAUGAGGAAGGACUCAUCUCUAGAUGAGAAUCAAGGGUAAAAUUGUGGAGGAUGUGAUAGUCAAGAUAUGUCUUGAUGGAUUGGACUGAGCAAAUGAAGACUGAGCAAAAUGCUCUCUAGAAAAGGUAAAAGAUAAUUCAUUUUGAAAAAAAGAGUAUUUUUACAGGAACAUCAUAGAAAAUUAUUCCAGUAUGGAAAAAUGGAUUGCUACUAUACUGAAGAGGACCUUCAGUCAAGGUGAUGAGCUUGUACAGAAAUCUGAGUAAUUUGUUAUAAAGUGCUGAGGCAAAUAUGUUAAUAUAGUAAGUUAUAUUUUUAGCAACAGCAGUUUAUAUUGUGGAAUUAACAUUCUUGAUAUUAAAAAAGUCAUAUAUCAAUUUUUAAAACUACAGGACAUGAACAGAAAGCCCAAAUAAUAAUUUCAAAGAAGUGAAAAUUCACAUAGCCAAUGAAUAUAUGUGGACACUCGACACAGGGUAGUGAUAGUAUUGCAGAAAAACAAGUGUGCAAAUCUAUUAGCAAUAAGGGUGUGCAAUUAAAACCACGUGACCCUACUAGCAAAGAGUAAAAACGUGAAAAUCUCCAGCAAAGGAGUGCAACAAGAAUCCUAAUACCCUCAACAUAGAAGCAUACAUUUAAAUAUUUUGGCUUUCUCCAAGAUUCCUGUCUCAGAAAAAAAAGUAUGCAUAUUUACAUCAAGGUACAUAUAUAAAACUGAUCGUGAUAUCAUUGUUAAUGAUACUUUCCAACUUGAAACAUCUCAAAUGAUUACCAAAACUAAAAAGUUCUGCUAAACAACUCAAUAGUCAAUGGAUUACUAUAUAACAAUGAAAAUGACGGAACUACAAAUCCACACGUGAACAUGGAUGGACCUCAACACAUGGGGUGAAAGGAACAUGUCACCAAUGAAUACAUACUCAUACAGCAUGAGUCUAUUUAUAUAGAUCCCAAUUACAGAAAAACUAAACUGUAUCUUUUUUAGGAUAGGUACAUAAAUUAGAAAAUUACCAAGAAAAGCAAUAAAUCCAGAUUUUAACAC
rnacentral:lncRNA from 1 species